GUGCAUGGUUGUCGUCAGCUCGUGUCGUGAGAUGUUGGGUUAAGUCCCGCAACGAGCGCAACCCUUAUUGUUAGUUGCCAUCAUUCAGUUGGGCACUCUAGCAAGACUGCCGGUGACAAACCGGAGGAAGGUGGGGAUGACGUCAAAUCAUCAUGCCCCUUAUGACCUGGGCUACACACGUGCUACAAUGGGAAGUACAACGAGUUGCGAAGUCGCGAGGCUAAGCUAAUCUCUUAAAGCUUCUCUCAGUUCGGAUUGCAGGCUGCAACUCGCCUGCAUGAAGCCGGAAUCGCUAGUAAUCGCGGAUCAGCACGCCGCGGUGAAUACGUUCCCGGGUCUUG
rnacentral:rRNA from 1 species